GGAAGGGAAGGAGUCGAAUAACUGAGAAGCUUCUGGGCAGCCUAAAGGUCAUCCUCCCCCAGACUGGGAGCCCGAUGAACAGAGUCCCUCAGGGAGCCCCAAGGGGGCAGUCCUAGCUUUAAGGUCGGGCACUGGAUGUAGAGGUACUUCCCCUUCCAAUUAUGGAUUGAAGAGGGAGCACCCUUCAGUAACCCCUUCUUGCCGAACUGAGGGGAGAAG
rnacentral:lncRNA from 1 species